CGGUCUGGUCUAGUGGAUAGUGACCCUGUCUGCUAAGCCGAUGGUCCUGGGUUCGAAUCCCAGUAAGGGCAUUUAUUUGUGUGAUGAACACUAAUAUUUGUUCCUGAGUCAUGGUUGUUUUCUAUGUAUAUAAGUAUGUAUUUAUCUAUACAAGUAUGUAUAUCGUCGCCUACUUUGCUUAGUUUGGGGCUGGGUUGAUCUGUGUAAGAUGUCCCCUGAUA